AGCAUGCGUGCUGAGAGGGGACCUGUUUCCUCAACUCCUGCUUUCCCCAGCGGCUGGCAUGGGUCGUGCUUGUCAGUGGUUGCUUACCCACUCACUCAGGACCUGUAUUGCCAGGCAUUUAUUCCCCCACACGCAGGACUGCUCAGACCACAGGCAUUGGCACCGUGGGAGGGAGCAGCGCCCUGGCCUCAGCUGAGGACAGGGCUUUCUCUCAGCCCUUGGCCUCAUGGCGGGAGACGGGACAGGACCGGUUCUCUCCCGUCUUCACUGGGGACUAAGGGGACCCACGAGCAAACCACCCUCCCACCUCUCAGCCAAGAAGAAGCCACCUUGGUGACAGGUUUAGUUCCAACAGCUCCUGAUUUUUGGCCUCUCGAGGAUGUACAUAGGUCCAAUGAGGGAAUCCUUGGAGAAGAGAGAAGAGGCACUUUUUCUUUGUUUAUUUAUGGUCUUUGAACAGCCUGGAUGCUUCUACAGUCAUUUGCUCAGGAGUUCAGAGUGUGAAUCAUGGGUUUUCCUGGACUUUCUGGUCCUGUACAAACUGCCAGUUCUGAUGAUAAGGGCUUCAUGAAAACAUUCUCUCCCACUGAUAUCUUAUUUCAUAACAUUAAAAAGAAGUAUGUGAAGUGAUUAAAUAUCUUUUAGAGAAAAAAUAGAUAAAUGGCUUUUUAAGAUAACAUAGUCUUGCCUGGAAAAUCCCAUGGAUGGAGGAGCCUGGUAGGCUGCAAUCCACGCUAAGGGUUGGACACGACUGAGCGACUUCACUUUCACUUUUCACUUUCAUGCAUUGGAGAAGGAAAUGGCAACCCACUCCAGUGUUCUUGCCUGGAGAAUUCCAGGGACGGGGGAGCCUGGUGUGCUGCCGUCUAUGGGGUCACACAGAGUUGGACACGACUGAAGUGACCUAGUAGCAGCAGCAGUCAGAAUGGCUAACAUCAAAAAAGGACACAAAUAACAAAUGUUAUUUUGCAUGGGUACAGAGAAAAGGAGACCCUAGUACACUGUUGGUAUGAAUGUAAACUGGUCUAGCCACUGUGGAAAACUGUAUGGAAGUUUCUAAAAAAACUAAAAAUAGAACUACCAUAUGACCCAGCAGUAUUACUCCUGGAUAUAUAUAUUUUAGAAAGAAGCAAAAGCACCAAUUCAAAAAGAUACACAUACAAUGCUCAUAGCAGCAUUAUUGCCAAUAUAUGGAAACAACGUGUCUAUCAACAGAUGAAUAGAUAGAGACAGUGUGGUACAUAUAUACACAAUGAAAUACCGUUCAGCCAUAAAAAUGAAUGAAAUGCUGUCAUUUGCAGCAACAUUGAUUGAUUUGGAGGAUAUUAUGCCAUGUAAACCAGAUAGAGAAAGACAAAUAAUGUAUGAUACCACUUGUAUGUGAAAUGACUAGUCUGUUAUAGUAUACAACAAACUAGUGACUAUAACAGAAAAGAAGCAGACUCACAGAUAUAGAAAAUAAACUAGUGGUUACCAAUGGGAAGAGGGACAACAUAGGCAUGUGGAGUGGGAGGUACCAAUUAUUGGGUGUAAGGCUCAAUAUGUACAAUUGUACAAUAUGUACAAAACCUAUUGUACAGUAUGUCCUUGGGAAUAUAGCCAGUGUUUUGUAAUAACUGUAAAU
ensembl:lincRNA